GCCCUUUAUCAAUCCACUGCUGGAUAAAGACCUCCCAAUUCCUGGCCGUUCAUGGGGGUGGUUUUACCACACAGGCACCUAUGUUUAUUUGACCCAUUGGAUAGCGCAGCGCACUAACCACUGCACCACCGCUCCACCCUUACACACUUUAUGAAACGGCGUUAAACUCGUGGAACUUAAAUGCACAUUGGUACACAGCAACAACCGACAUGGCUUAGAACGCAAAUGCGCAGGCAAUGCGUCCGACCAUAUGUGCUGCAGUACUUUCACACUUCAUUGUGGAGGCGCUUAAGAGGCCCAUGCUGAAUGAGAAAUGGUGCGUGUCCUUGUAAAGUCAAUAUAUAACGAAAGAAGAAACACCCGUUUUGUGCAGCAUCAGUGAUUUUAUGCACUAAUAACAUGUAGCUAAGUGUCAUUGAAGGCUCCGUUGUUAUUGCCGUGCAUACAUCUGGUCGCCCUGUCAUUACGUUUGCUCCUGCCAUUUCUGCAGCUUGAAAGUAAUGUUAACCCAUGAUGACUACGUGCCAUUAAAUAUGAAUGUUGCCAUUAUUGCUUUAUGUGACUAUUACGUCGGUGCAGGGUUCAAUCUUGCCUUGCCUUUAUUGCCGAAACAACGGAAAGGGCACAAUGUUUUGGGGUUCACGUGUCGUGAUAACAUUGCCCCUUCAGCCGGUCAAUGUGAACACCAAGUUUUUUUCAAUGACAAAAAUUGAACAGUCAAACUGAUUGACAGCUCACACCAUGCUUCGACACCAUAUGGUGUGCCGUGUAUUUUUCGCAAUAGCUCGAGGAAUAAUAUAACCGACGACGUUUUAACACAUUUUAGGAACAUAAAAUAAUUGGCUAAACUAAUCUCACAUGUCCUUGUCAUAACGUGCAAUUGAUAGGUUUUUUGCGGUAUUAAAAAACUAAACUUAGAAAGACAAAACCUCUUACUGAUAUGUGUAUUUCUUUAAAAUGGCUGUAAGGUGUGCUGUCUAACAUUCCUAUAACAGAAAGGAAAUGACCGUUGAAUGUACAGGCUAUGGAGAAAAACUGAAAAACGGCAAUUAAGUGAAAUUACCUCCGUUAUUAUUUUCUGUGAAUUAAUCACGUCGUGACUCUUGAUUGGAAAAUUGGUUUCCUUCCAUCGACCACCUUUGCCCCUCUCUGCCUUGCCUUCCGAGAAGCAACUCAUUUUUUUCUGUGCGUUCUUAUAGCCUGUAAUGUUUAUUGGUUAUGUACAUCUAAUCAGGGGUUAAAUUGAGGGGGGAACCAAGGGAAACAGUGUUUCCAUACGUCUUCCACAGACACCGCAGUGUUCUCUCACUCAGGUGGCGUUGGUACCUACUCGCAGGCAAAUGCACUCUAGCCUGGGUUGCCACCUUUGAGAUACAAAUAAAGUGGGACAUAUCAUGGGAAGAAGACGAAUAUCUGGCACGGCCGGAAGAGGGGAUAACUACAUGUAACUACGUUGUCUUCAGGGGUGUGUUAUUAUACAACUGACAAAAAAAACUUGACUUUUGGGGCCCGUAUUCUUAGUCACAACUCGGCUCAGGCUUGGCUUUGGUGCGAGUCGGCUGUCCCAAAGACAAGCUCAACUUGAGCCAGCUCAGAGGAUGGUCCCAGCCAUGCUCAGGAUUUCAAUGAGCCGAGUAGGAGCCAAGCCAUUGCUGAGCUGCUAAUUCCUGCAUCUUUUAAAGCAACCGAGCGACUCAAGCGUGAGCUGAGCCGUGUUAGAUGCCACACCAGAACUGAGCCACGACUAAGAAUAUGGCCAUUGAUGUCCCAUGAAUACUUAAAUAUCUCCCAGGACAGGUACCUCAAUAGGAGGAUGAUCCUGAGAAAAUCAGGACAGGUGGCAAUCCCCCAAAGUGUAGCCCAAUGGAGAAAGUCAGGAGUCACACAAUCAUUCUCACUUAGGGGGUCACGCAUGCACACCUUUUCCAACAGAUGUUCAUACCUGCCCACACAGAUCUUCCUUAUAUACGUUAUAGACUGUUGGGGGCACGUGCUAUUAACGAGCAGCUAGUAAGGCCGAGACAACACACAAGGGGAUGGUGUCGUAAGCACUACAGCUGGCCACCUUGGAAUCUAUAGGGCCGUUUAUUCAAUGAAUCAACUGCUCAUUUAAGGCUGAGGCAACCUGGGGAAUGUCCAGGACAAGACAAUCUGUCAACACACACACAUGGAGCACAUAUGCAAGCAUGCAUUUCCUCAUUGAAUGAAAAAAACACAGGUACGCACCCACGCGCACACACACACACAUGGCUGGUUGUCCUUAGAAUACAUCCAUCUGUGAUAGAGCUUCCACGCUUUCAUUUGAGACAAUUUCAUUUGGUCAUCCAUAAUUUGUCCUUCCCCUGCAUCGAUGACCCUGUAAUUGACUGUUAUACGUUUGCUCAUUCUAAGUGUGGCAAUCGCUCAUUUUGGGUGCAUCAGAAUUGAGCUAUAAUGUAAAGGGGUGGGCACAGGGAUAACGUAGAGACGUGGCUUUCUAAUUCCAAAAAAAACUUAUCUGCUAUUGUAUUUGCACAAGGUGACUUAUCCUUUAGCGAGUUGGGAACUGGCCUUGUAUACUUAGGCCAGGCAACGUGGUAUUUUAUGGAUUUGAUGGAGCAAGAGAGGGAGGGGACGCUGCUCCCAUACCAUACUGUAUGUAUCGUUUUGUGGUUGUGCUGCAUGUCGCUCCGAGGUGUAUUUAGAUUUACCGAAUGUUCGUUCGGCAUGAUGUCCGAUAUUUUGCUUCACGUGCUGGGAGCUGAGAAGCUCCCAGGAUGUGCUGAACGACACGAGGAACAACCCAAAGACACAUCUGAGAGCAAGGCAUCACGCCACCCACGCUCACAUGACCACCUCUCCAUGUUAUUUAUUUAUUUCCGUUUACAUUUUGACUUAAUUGCGUUUGUUAACUCAGGAGGCCUCGCCGAGUGCGAAGUUUUUGCAGUAGGGGGCGAUGUUGUUGCUGUGUGUAAUCCCAAUUGAGUAAUUUUCAAGUAUUUUUUGCGUUGUUAUGUUUUGGCCAUUAUAAUUUACAUUCUACGCUUUUUUUUAGCUCUGGGAUUGAACCGGACAACCCAGAUGAAACCCAUAACAGAACAGUCGGAGAAGAUACACACUCCAGGAUGGAGGCACGUGCUGCUGCCAAGCUGAGUGACGGGAUGCAAGUCGGGAAUUCUUCCAAGCCUCUGACACAUAUCUUAUUUAUUCUUUCGAGAGAGACUCUUUAAGGUUCUUUAUCUCAUGCACAUCUGCUGACCACUGCUGUGCAUUGUAUAAACUCGUGCACAAAUGAAAAUUCCAAGGACACACACGAUGUGAUGAUGCUUGUUUCGUUAAUGGGACUUUAUCAAGUGACGGAACACAUUUGUUUAGAGAAAUUGACAUUUCCUAUUGUUUCACUGUGACUUUGCUUCGUAACCUUGCACCCCUUUGAAUCAUUGUAAACAUGUUUUCACCUGUGCGUUGCAUCGUUCUCUCCAUUAUAUAUUUUGAAAAAAUAACAGAGCCGUACUUAUAGUUUAUUAUAAAAAAAAUAUUGUUUCAAAAAAGUGAUACACAUGUAUCCCGACAAUAAAAUAACAUGACGCUUUUAGAUCGCUAUUGCUUAUAUUUAAAAUAAUUCUAUAUUGUAUAAAUCAAUUAAAUCAUCUUUAAAUAUAGCCCAGAUAAUUACGAAAAUUUGUGCUUGUGAAAUCUAAUAUAUGAAGAGUGUCCUAAAAAGAAAUAGUCAUACUUUAAAUUAUGUUGUUUGUGGAUAGAACUAGUCCAAAAUUGUCAGCAUUAUUUUUUAGAAAAACUGAAAAUAACACAUGCUGCAAGUGGAAACGUUUGGGAAAAACUUUUGCAUGCUAUGAAUUUAAUUAAAAAAAUAGAACACACACUUAUAUACUACCACCAAGUUUUUUGUAAAAAAAAUUAUGAAAAUGUUCAUAUUUGUAUUUACAAAUGUAAAUAUACCAUUUAAACAAAAUAUACAAAUAUGGAUACCCCUAUUCUCUUAUCUCCUAGCCGUAACCUAUACUGGUAACUCUAUUGUUCAAUCCAACUUAUACUAAUAAUAAUUUCAAUUUAUAUGGCAUAUAAAUACCCCCGGUAUCUUAAGAGGCUGUACAGGGCAAGCAUCAAAACGUAAACCGGGACAUUCAGAAAAAAAAAAUACGUAAUAAUAAAUAAUAAAACUAAAAUCUAAACACAAGCAGGAUCUGGACAGAUUGAGCAGCAGAGCUGCACACCAUGUGCAUGUCGUCUCAACCACCGUUACCCCACACAGGUGGUGGAAUUGUACUGUGAUGUGCAAUGAUUGAGGCAGCAAAAUCUAUAAUUUAUGUAAUCAGGGGAAGAAUGGGAGGGGUGACGAUUUGGAUGGAAGGCCGAAGGGGCGGGGAAAAAGAGGGAGAGCGUUAUUAGUCAACGGGAGGGAGAGAGAGAGAGAAGGUCUGAAGUGUUGACUUAAAAAGGGAUAGCGAACGAGCAGUGUGCAGAACUUUAAAAGGUCAAAGAAGGUUAAAGCGCAGAGCUGAAAUUUCGUGCUUAUGCCACUGCUGGAGCUCUGGAGCCCCUAAUCUUCAAUGCUGAGCAGACAUCUCCGAAGAGGUGUAGUACCCACACUACACCUCACUUGAUUUACUUACCGGUGGUGUACACAUUAAGAGAAAAUUUCCCAUUGUUUCAACUGCUGCGCCGGGAGGACCAACCAGGGAUCUCAGGAUUUCAAGUCAUUUAUUCUGACCAUUACACCAAGGUGGAAUCAGUGGACAAUGAUGGGCGGGGGGGGGGUAAUUCCCAACAGCAGAGGCAGCAGAGUAGAGGGAGACAUGUCCUACAGUUUUUAGGUUGAUUUUGUGUCUCACCAACAGGCCAAGGCUGCAAGUGUGAUCCUAGUUACAACCUCUAACCCUAACUUCUAACCCUGACUCGAGGCUAAACUCUACUUCCUAAACAAAACCCAUAACCUCAAUCAAAGUUGCUAUUCCAUAAAAUCAUAGCCCUAACACUACAAACUGUAAUCUGUAAUACGUUGACAUUUUUAUUUUGAGCCAUUUUUAUGAUGCUAAAUCUAAUCAACAUUACAUAACUCAUAUUGGGAUAAAUUUCGAAAAAAUAUAUACUUAUACCAAAAAUUCAUUCAUAUUAACAAAAAACAUCUCUUUUGAGGCUCAAAUGUAAAAAGAAUCUAGCCUCUAUUGGCCAAAACCUGCAAGAAAAAAUAAUAUUUCCAUUAAAAACUUGGACGAAGAAAUGCUAAAAGUAAUUACGAUUGAUUAUUUUUUUUAUUCCACUAUUUUAUUUUUAAAUAAGGGAAGAAAAUGGAAAACUGGAUAUUGUACAUUUUUUAUUUGGCCAUAUAUCCCCAGCAUGUGCUUGGAGACACACGUGAUUUUGGCAUGUGUCACGGUGCCACCAAUGUAAUUUACAAUGUGUUGCAACACCUUCCAACUAUUAAGAUGCUUUCCGCUGUGCGCAGGCAAUAACAGAAUCUCUUUACCACCUAUGUAAUUGAAUAUAACUGCAUUAAAAUACUGUAGGCUUGGACACUGCCAACACACCUUAAAAUGUUAGCACAUUUCUUUUUAGCUUUAAUGAAUCGUAACUCAUAUAUUAUUUAGCAAUGCCCUACUGUAAACAUUUUGUUGCAAACCUUGAAAAUCAAAUUAUAUGUUGUGGAGGGGAAAUGUAUUUAGGCAAAGGUAAUUUAUUUUAAAGUCGAUACGGUGAAUGAUACAUAUUAAUGGGCUUAAGGGGCCGCAUAAAGCAUAUGUGUAGGUAUAUCUUAUGUGAAAUUCAUACUGGAAUUUGGCGAGAGGACCUUUUAAAGUAUAUGGGCUGAGCAGUUACUGUAAUGAGCCCCCUGGUCAUGUAAUACUGCUGUCACCAAUCAGAAGUAUUGGAUUAUUGAAUUAUUGAAGGCUUGCCGGAAAGAGGGGCAUUAAGCCAUAUUGACAGGCCAUGGCCAUUAAGAAUUGCGUUUUUAAAUUGAAGUGCAUUUAUAUACAUUAAACAUUAAACCACCACCUCAAAAAAUUGACGGAACGCAACAUUCAAAUGCUGGGAGAACAUCACAAGAUUGAACAAGUUUUGAUCCAGGAAUACUUUACUGUCGAUGCAUUACCUUUUUUUCACAAAAGAUAUUUUAAAGUGCUGAAAUUAGGUUUUUUUCUCAUAUUGAUUAUAUCAUUUUUAAAGCGAUGUUUUUGUGUGGUUUUUACAACGAAACAUAUUCCCCAUAAUAUUUGCUAAAAUAUAUUGUCAGCUUUCCCCUGGUCACGGCAGAAUUAUGUGGAUCAAUUGACAUUAUGUAAGUCCCAUUGCUCCCUGGGAGUAUUUAAUGUGAUUUUCCAGAAGUUAACUUGCAGAAAAAUUAUUCCAUUUACACAAUGUUUGAAAAGUUAUAUGUUAUCGACAGUACCUUUUAACACGAAGGGGAAUGUUUUCGUCAGUCCUAAAACAAAUGCCUCAGUCUCCAUUUCAGGCAAGUUAAACAUUGUAGAUCAAUUUGUUCGCAUUCAUUAAUUUCCCCAGGAUGUAUUAUGAGGAUUAGUUAAAUAAAAGUUGGUUAGCCGACUCUUAGAUAUGUUUUGUUAUGUCAGGUACUGUUUAAAGUCAUGUGAACGGGCAUUCACAAAUUGGCGGUUUACCACGAGCGUUAUUAAAACGUAUGGCUAAUUACGAAUUGUACCUCGUAAAAUAACUGUGUCCAAACUGUCACAGCGUGCAAUGCCGUGCAGCGUUAAUUGUGAGGUAAAUUGCUGGCACUGGAUAAUAAUAUAACGCACACUGUUGUAUUUCAUGUGCAUUAAUGUAAGCGUGUGGUAAUGAGAAUUUACAUAGGGACUCAGUGAGGCAAUUUGCAAUAGCUAGCUGUAGCCAGACCCUUGCCCUUUAUUGCACCUUCUUUUUUCUCAGAGAGUGAUUGCUUGAUCACUUGACCUCAACUUCAUUAAGAAUUAAGGGGUUAUGUGAUGUAGGCUCAUUACCUUCAGAUGUGCGCCCAUCGACACCGCAUAUAUACAGGGCAUUUCUUGAGAGAAGAUUUACAUUUAACGUUGUUUGGCAUUUCAAUGCUAACCCUCGUGAACCCAGUGUCCAGAUUUCAAAAUCAAGUGACCCAAACUAUUGGGAGAGUCAGAAUAGGCCCGAUCAGGUGACCUACGCUCCAUUAACAAGGAUUACAUGCCUAAAUGCCAACAUGCUGCUUGUGUUAGUUCUGAGUUAUGCUUCACUCAAACUGCCAACAAUACGCAGAGAUUGAUACCAUAUGGCUGACUGGCAACAGAUGAGGCUUGCUCUUUAGCGAGAAUCAAACCAACUGUGAAAGCCUUGUCUGUGUUGUGAGUGCUUUGUUCUGAAAUGGGAACUUUGUAUGAAAGUGUGUAGGACCAGUGGGUGCAGGAUAUGGGCAAUGACAUCUAGAGCCUGGCAGCUGGUCCCUGGUACUGCCAAAAUGCCUGUAGCAUGGGCUUUGACUCUUGCGUGCGUGUGUGUGUGUGUGUGAAAUGUUAGCGAUUCUGUUCAUGACUUACAGACCCAUGAGGAGGAUCUUUAGGAAAAUCGUUUCUAAACUAAAGGAGGGAGGUUAUUUGAAAAGAGGUUGUGAGACCAGUGCCGUGGCAAGGACAGGGUGAGUGGGUCGGUGGGGCGGCACCGCCCGUUUGUGUCGCCGAAUCGUUAGAUACGAAGCAAGCAGUGGUGGUUGGUAGCGCCAAUAUUUGGGGGGCUUCGCCAGUGCCACGGUAGCAGGAGGCGUGGAAGAGUGUGAGGAUGGCACCUUGCCCCGGGCGCCAAAAUUACUAGCUUGAGCUCUGGGUGGGAUAUGGCUUGGUGUCAAGGCUUGUCGUGUCGACAGGAAGUCAGCGAGUCCUUGCGGCCACGGCACGAGUCCAGAAGGUACGGGUGGCAGGCCGGAAGGAAGGUCCAGGCAGAGUUCCAGGAUCUCUGGGCUGGAGUCCGAGACGCGGGGGCAGGAGUGUGGGUGGCCUGAGCUGGAAUCUGGGAAUCGUGGGUGGCAAUCAAUUCAAAAACAGACACUUGGAAGUGAAACAUGAAACUUAUAACUUGAUAUAAUUUUUUUUAUAGAAUUGUAAAAUUAAAUGUCGUAGACAUGGUAAAAAAAAAAUGGUAGAGGGAGGCGAGUAGGAGGGGGGGGGUCAAGCGUUUUGUUAACAAAAUAACAGUUCUGAAAUUACGACAUUUAAAAAUACCCACUUAAGGUUUUUGUUCCAUAUGUAAUGCAUUCUGAAUUGUUGAAUUACACCAACAUGGUAAAUACACAGCAAGCAUGAAUAGUAAACACAUUAAAUACGUGGGUUUCCUCUUUAAUGGCUCUAUGCACAUCCUAUACCUGUAUAUACGUGUUAAAGUAAGCAUGCACCCGUAUGUAAUGUGCUCACAAUUACCGAUUGAUUUAUUGGAAGCGGAGCUGCAAGGAACAGGGGUUUAUUGAGUUAACGUAUCAUCUAGGCUGAUCAAUUAUCAUGCCUUGUAGUUGCUGAAAUGUCCUCUUGUUCAUGCUCGCUGUGCUGCACAACACAGAACACUGGUUCUCGGCUCCUGUUGAGUUCCAGUUGCUUAGAACAGUUGCACAAUCCAAGUAUUGCUUAUGGCCUUUUCAUACUGCACAACAGGUUGUCACGUUAACGCCUCUGCAAUCAUCUCCUAUGAACGACCAGCUUGCAAAUCGGUGUAAGCCGCAGAGGUUAGUAAGGCCCAACGCUGACGAUCGUCGCAAUUCCCGAUCAGUUGUGAGUUUGAGCCCAGGGGGGAAAGCUGCACCAUGACGUGUACACGCAGAGACUCGCUGAGAGAGGGCAGCAGAGAGUGCGCGACACCACCGUGAACAAAAAUCUCGGGAGAGGAGGACAGAAGGCUGGAGACCUGUCCAUGGUGUCAAAGCAGUCUGAGAACGUGUUUCCGCAGUGAAUGUCAAAACUGCCGUAUAUGCCGGAUAUUCCAAAGAGUAUUUAAGGUCAUGUUUUGGACAGCAGUGGAUUGAUCAUGGCUGAUGACGAUUAAUGUUUUGGGAUGAUAUUUAUAACUAUGCUGGGUUUUAAAAUGUAAAACAAUAUAUGGUAUAUCUUAUAUUUGAGUUCAAUGGUAAUAUUUGUUCAUUACAGUGAUGGAAAAGCAUUUAGAGUGUUAUAGAAUUUAUUUCCAUGUAAAAAAAAGAUUCCCCACAAUAUACAAACAUUAAAACGGGGACGUAUGUGCAUUUUACAUGGGCGUGGAAACGGAUUAUGACUUGCCGCCCGCCGCAGCAUCUGGUGAGCCAAGCCAGAGCGACGGAGAACAUGGCAUGAUGCCAUACAUAAAUAUCUACUCCAUCUGUACUGUCUGUGUCAAACUAAACACGACUUUCCAUUUAAAACACUGUUCACGUUUCUAGUCCUGCAAGUUAUCCUCCUUGGCACUGUCAUUGCCAUUUAAAUCGAGGGUGGUCGCACUAAAAAUGCCCCUCAUACUUUUCGCGUCUGUAGGCGAGACCGGUGGCAAAAUGUUUCAGUUUAUCCAACUUCGGCUGCGGUUUUAUACCGCGAUGGGUUGUGCUGCGUUUAGUGGCGUUGUGUAAAGAUUUUGAAAUAAAAUUAUUUAUAAUUAAGAAGAAAAAGAAAUUCCCGACGUAACAUUUUGCCGUGUUUAUUUUUACAGCAGCCCUUACACACUGUACGUUUUAAAAAUGUUUGAGUAAUUACUGUUUGAAACAAGUGCAAGGGAAUUAAAAUUGCAUUGAAAUAAGACACAAAUGUUCUACAUGCAUGCUUAUUGGUCUUCAUCAGCACCCAUUAGUUAUGAUCAAAGCCAUUCACCAGAAACUUCAAGAGACGUUUAUUUUAUUUCAAUCCCUAGGUUAUUUUAAUAUAUAUGACUGUUAACACCGCAAGCACCCAUAAACGUGCACUUAAUGCCAUUUCAGUCAAAAACUAGACGUAUGAAAAUAUAUCUAGGAAUUGCAAACAAAAAUACGUUAUGGAGAUUCAGUCCUGGUGUACGUGUAGUAUUGUCCCUUCUACAUUAAAAAAAUUACCUUACAGAAUAAUUAUGAUUACAAAAAGCCUAACCCCCAUAAACACGUCCAGUGCGUAUAAACAGCACAUUGUGUGAUUCAUACAGAUAUACGCAAAACCUCAUUGGCGAAAGUAAGUUAAUCGCGAUAAGAAACAACACUGCAAAUAUGAUACCCAUUGAUUGUGUGGGUUUGCCAGCCAAUGUGUGUGUGAUAUAUUCAGUUUGGAUAAUUUUGUGGUUGCACAGGGCUUAUGCGAGGCAUUGGACCUUCUGGUUCGUCUUGGCAUGGAACUUGUGUAGUCGCAUGGGUUCAGUGAGUUCAGUGCUGUGGCAUGAUGUUGGGUGCUGAGAGUGGAUACCGUUUGAGUAAAUACUUUUAAUUUCCUUCUGGAAGGCUGAAUCAGCCUCGGAAGUCUUUUAUGAAAUGCAAUACAGGCUCAUCGCCAAAUAAGUGGAACGACGUAACAUUUUAUAAACGUGAAAUACUUGUUCAUGUUGAAGUGUACGCAUGAAGAUGUGCGAUAUGCAGAGUUAUUGCAACUAAAUAUUGUGCUUUGCCAUAUUGUAAUUUAUUGCGUCAUAUUUUAGACAAACUGCCGUGGUAUUACAGUUAGCGCACCGGACUUGCAAUCCAGAGGUCACCGGUUCAAUCCCUUAGAAAUUGAAACAAUGGGCAAGUCUCUUAAACUCUCCCCCCGUCCACCUCCUGUCAACCCAGCAGCAUCAAUGGAUAAACCGCACGUGGUGGCGUAAAGUGUGGCUACUCCCGCCACUUACAAGAUGUUUGGUCAGCAUAGAAUAGUAGGCCAAAAUACUCUCUUGAGAGCCUCUCUAAAGGUCUUCCGCCAGCAGUGGCACGAACAAGAAAUUGUAGGGCUGCACCUUUACCCUUUGAUUUUAUAUGUUACUCUUAACUGGAGAUGGUUGGGAGAGAUUAAGAGCUCUUGCCACAACACCACUCUUAAUAACUUGAGCAUCCUUCAUUAUUUAGCAACAGCGGGAAAAUAGUAGCAGACAAAUAUUUAAAUUGCACCUCAAAUGGCAUUAGAUACAUUAAAGUGGCUAUCAACCCACAUUUAUAUCUAUUCGCGUGGGAAUGUACAUUAUUAAAGGUAUGUAAAUUGUGUUCUUUGAGUAACCUGAUGUGGGGUAAUAAUCAGGCAAAAUAGAAAUGGCGUUAUAGUUUAUAUCUGGGAUUUCCCACUUCAUGGCAACCAAUAAAUACUUGCAGUCACGAAAGCUUUAAAUCAAUAAAUACUUAUUUACGAGUUCUAAGCAAAUGCUUUUUUUUAAUUAGAAUUUCUUCAAAAACAUUUGCAGUGCCUUGUCAAUCCAAUACCAUGUCUAUCAUGCGUCGAUGUUAGACAAUACUUCACUGCACUGGUCAGUGCAGGUUUAUAAAGGGGGUUCUGGUAUAUUUCGCCACAUAUUUUUGGCAAGGGAGGGAAACCAACUCAGGUCACUCGGUUCAGGGCACAGAAUUUGUUCAGAUAACACUCACUACUGAUGUUGACUGUGACUGGGAAUCAAACUCGGGUCGCUGGGUUUAUAAUGGAGUGUGCUAAGCGCUUUGCCACUGCUAUUCACCCUAAUAAUUCCUUAAAAUUUGUAUUAUCCACAAUUAAAAUAUCUAGCCGCUUGCACCGUGUUAAAAGGCUUUGUAGGGGUUUGAUUUUGAGAUUACAGUGGUGGAAAGUGCUUCCAUCGUUUAAGUCAUGGGGGAGAAAAUCUACACUUUGUAAAGUCAGUCCUUCAAACUCACCAACGGCCCAUCUCUGGAAAAGGUCACUGUUUCAUCAAUAUCCAACUAUCUUUCACAGAUGUCAAUAUGUGGCAAAAAAAAUCCAUCAAAACCCACUUGGCCUCCACACGACCUUUAGGAUUACCAACUUGUGUACAUGCUGGGUUAGCUCCUCUGCAGUGAAACAUGAUCACGACAUGAUGAAGAACGUAAUGGAGGCAGUGUUUCAUGGAACAUUACCGUUAAUAGAGCUCCUCCGUCAUAACGCCAUGGUCCCUCAUACAGCUUCAUCAGAGAAGCAGGACUUGUUGCGAAGCAUUUAUUCUUGCUCUCUACAGAGUACUAUAGCCAGGCAUACUGCUCGAGGCUUUUAUAGGAGCCCAACUGACACGACAUGUUAAAUGUAGCAUUAGGAUAUUCUUUUGUAUUGCUGUGCUCUUACAGAUAUUAGGGGUAAAGAUUAACAUCUCCCUCAAUGUUGCAGGUAACGUCAUGUUAUAGAUAUAUAGAUAUAAAAGCAUGAAUGCCUAUAAUCGCUCUAAAUUAUGUGGACAUCACACAGCUCUUAUUUUUACAUUAUUAAUGAAAAUGACGAAACAAAAAAACAUCUGCCGGUACUUGCUAAUUUACAGAUGGGCUAUCAGCCCUACACUCAGCCCUCGGAAGACCUUGAUAACCUCUCUGAAUAAUCAUUAAAAAGCUAAUCAAGCGGCACAAUGGAGACGCUGGGAAAGCUAUCGAUGCCCACACUGUCCCUAUCCCUAUCGAAUCGGGGCCAUUGCAGGCUAUUGACCCAGUGAGAAAAUUGACUUUUUAAAAUGAGGUCCCCACUUAGCCAGCCGACCCCGCUUUGGGAUGCGAUGUAUGAUCGCGCCAUUGCACCGUCAUCAUUUCAUUAUCGUGCCCAGCUUGAUGCAGUAUGGAUCGCCCGAGUGAUGUCGUAAAGAUAUAGGUCCUCAAAUAAAAACAAAACCUGUGAUUUGUUGCGCAUCGAUCGAGUUCAUUCAGAACCAAGGGCUCGGGGAUGGAAGAUCUUUGAUGUCUUUGAUGCAAUUGCUGCACUGAUCUUAAUCUAAGGACAUUGGAUUGAAUCUGUGGCCAAAGUGACACCAUCACGUCGUUUUCACAAAAUAAAUAUAUAUUCACCACGCAUUUUGUAUAUCCUUUUUUUGUCUAAACUCUAAAAAGUGAAUCGUACUUCCACAGAAGGGCUCAAACCAUAUUAAGUGAACACAGGCAAAGGACUAAUAUAUAUUUUUUAAUUCAACCAUUUAAUUGAACAUUUCUAAAACACGUUUAAAUCUGUUUCAUUAAAGAGAAAUGUAUGAAAGUAGUAGGUGCAUCUCAUCGGAAUUACAGGCAGUUUUGUUUAAUAAGCAGAUAUGUCUCAUGAACAACGUCAUCAACACAGGUGAUGCCUGGCUUCAAACAUUUGAAAUGGCUAUGACGG